GCGGGUGUGGCGGAACUGGUAGACGCGCCGGAUUUAGGUUCCGGUGAGCGCGAGCUCGUGGAGGUUCGAGUCCUCUCGCCCGCA
rnacentral:tRNA from 1 species